rnacentral:rRNA from 1 species
AUACGUAGGUGACAAGCGUUAUCCGGAUUUACUGGGCGUAAAGGGCGUGUAGGCGGUCUUGCAAGUCAGAAGUGAAAUUCCUGAGCUCAACUCGGGCGCUGCUUCUGAAACUGCAGGACUUGAGUGCUGGAGGGGAUAGCGGAAUUCCUAGUGGAGCGGUAAAAUGCGCAGAUAUUAGGAAGAACACCGGUGGCGAAGGCGGCUAUCUGGACAGUAACUGACGCUGAGGCGCGAAAGCGUGGGGAGCAAACAGGAUUAGAUACCCUGGUAGUCCACGCCGUAAACGAUGAAAACUAGGUGUAGGGGGUAUCGACUCCCUCUGUGCCGCAGUUAACACAAUAAGUAUUCCGCCUGGGGAGUACGGCCGCAAGGUUGAAACUCAAAUGAAUUGACGGGG